rnacentral:rRNA from 1 species
AUUGAACGCUGGCGGCAGGCCUAACACAUGCAAGUCGAGCGAGCGGCGGACGGGUGAGUAAUGUCGGGGAAACUGCCGGAUGGAGGGGGAUAACUACUGGAAACGGUAGCUAAUACCGCAUACCAUCAGAUGUGCCGAGGUGGGAUUGGCUGGUAGGUGGGGUAAUGGCCCACAUAGGCGACGAUCCCUAGCUGGUCUGAGAGGAUGACCAGCCACACUGGAACUGAGACACGGUCCAGACUCCUACGGGAGGCAGCAGUGGGGAAUCUUGCGCAAUGGGCGCAAGCCUGAUGCAGCCAUGCCGCGUGUGUGAAGAAGGCCUUCGGGUUGUAAAGCUCUGUCAGCGGGGAGGCGUUACCCGCAGAAGAAGCACCGGCUAACUCCGUGCCAGCAGCCGCGGUAAUUC